rnacentral:rRNA from 1 species
UACGUAGGGUGCAAGCGUUAAUCGGAAUUACUGGGCGUAAAGCGUGCGCAGGCGGUUGUGCAAGACAGAUGUGAAAUCCCCGGGCUCAACCUGGGAAUUGCAUUUGUGACUGCACGGCUAGAGUGUGUCAGAGGGGGGUAGAAUUCCACGUGUAGCAGUGAAAUGCGUAGAGAUGUGGAGGAAUACCGAUGGCGAAGGCAGCCUCCUGGGAUAACACUGACGCUCAUGCACGAAAGCGUGGGGAGCAAACAGG